GCUUACGGCCAUACCACCUUAGGCACGCCCGAUUUCGUCUGAUCUCGGAAGCUAAGCAGGGUCGGGCCUGGUUAGUACUUGGAUGGGUGACCGCCUGGGAAUACCAGGUGCUGUAAGCA
ensembl:rRNA 5S_rRNA 5S ribosomal RNA